rnacentral:rRNA from 1 species
GCGCAGCAGGCGCGAAUCUUCCCCAAUGGACGAAAGUCUGAGGGAGCGACGCCGCGUGAAUGAAGAAGCCCUUCGGGGUGUAAAAUUCUUUUCUUUAGGAAAAUUCGUGAUGGUACUAAAGGGAAUAAGGGGCCGCCAAACUCGUGCCAGCAGGCGGCGGUAAUACGGAGUGCCCCGAGCGUUACCCGGAAUUACUGGGCGUAAAGCGGCUAAGAGGCGGUUUGAUAAGUCAGACGUCAAAUCUCCGAGCUCAACUCGGAGCCGGUGUCU